CUCCUUGUUCCUCAGCCUUGCAGACAGCCUAUUGUGGGACCUGUGAUCGUGUAAGUUAAUACUGAAUAAACUCCCCUUUAUAUGUAUGCAUAUUUCUUUGGU